rnacentral:rRNA from 1 species
GCCUGCAUCAUAAAAUUAAUGCACCGAAUCCCAUUAGAACUCCACAAUUAAGCGCGCUCAUGCUAGAGUAGUACUGGGAUGGGUGACUGCCCGGGAAGUCCUAGUGUUUUACAUGCC